rnacentral:rRNA from 1 species
UACGUAGGCAGCGAGCGUUGUUCGGAAUUACUGGGCGUAAAGAGUGUGUAGGCGGUGCUCUAAGUUCGGUGUGAAAUCUCCUGGCUUAACUGGGAGGGUGCGCCGGAAACUGGAGUGCUUGAGCGUGGGAGAGGAAAGCGGAAUUCCUGGUGUAGCGGUGAAAUGCGUAGAUAUCAGGAGGAACACCUGCGGUGUAGACGGCUUUCUGGACCAUGGCUGACGCUGAGACACGAAAGCGUGGGUAGCAAACAGG